GGAGAGGGUUGCCCCCGUGACAGUCGUAGGACAUGUUCACAGUACGCACGUCCCAUCCUCGCGAAGCACGAGGCCAAACUUGCGUGUGCAUCAUGUCGCACGUCGGCAAACCGGCCAGGUGCUGCGCACCGUGCGCGCAUCGUCAGCAAAAUAGGCCUGCGCGGAUAGGCCUAUGUGCCUAGGGCCUUCCCGAAAUGCCCCAGUGCACUGUAGGUCUUGCGUGCACGCAGGGCAGCUCCUAUGCGUGGCAGGGUAGCUCGGCACUUGCAAGCUAGGCUCACUGCUGCCUUGGGCGAUGUGUUGCUGCCCUCUUUGGGCAGUGUGCCGCCACUUGGGGUGUGCCGUCACCGGAGGAGGAAAAA
rnacentral:lncRNA from 1 species